rnacentral:lncRNA from 1 species
GAGACCGAAAGCGGAAGUCACGGGGAGCUGGCGGCUGGGUUGGGCGGCGGAUCUGCAGAGUUUCGAGGUUCUGUCAAGUUCGCUGCCCGCCGCCCAACUUGAAGCCUCAUUUACCUUUCGGCUACCUGAUUUGGAUAAAUGGAGAAAAACCGGGGCCUCUAACUCAUAAUGCCCUCCCGCGUUCAAGAUGCCAGUUUUGGGGCGGAGAUUUCUAAAUUAAAGCCUACAUCCCGCGCGGGAAUAUCUGCUGGUAAUUUCUCGCCUGCCAGAAAACUCCUUUGAUCUCUGGCUGUGGAGACUCGGGACCCCUACCCAAGUAUGGGACACUGCCUCCGUUGGGGUUAUCUCAGAUCAAUGGAAUGGGAACAAGCUAUCCGGCCUGGGCGCCGUUCACGUCUCACAUCUGAGAUCGUAACACCGACUGUGCUUAGGACCUCAGCAAUAACUUUUUGCCGUCUCUGGCCCACUGACUCCUCUCAAAAUGUCCCCUGGUCCUUUUGCUAUUCACGUAUUUCUGUGGGCUUGAGAUUUGCUUAACUCCUAUAUUGGCAAAAGGCCACUUGAAAUCGCUAGCAGAUACUCGAUAACCUGAAAGGUAAGCCUGUAGUUCCUCCAUAAAAUUUCCAUGCUGCCCUUCUCUCCAGUAUAAUUCAGAUCUUCCUACCUUAGGGUCUUAGAACUAAAACCAAGAUAAGUCAACUUCAAUUCCACACCCCGAAACAAACCAGUGCAUCCUGUGAAUCUCCUACUAAAAUUUCCUGUUGCGAUAACAUGCAAAAGGAGAGGUUCUAGUAAAAUUUGCCUCUCAGCCCUAGUAUCACCUGAAACUUAAGUCCACUGUGAAAGUCCCAGGCAGAUAGCAUCUUUCACUAAUAACCCUGGAUACUGCGUGAAGGUAGUCCUAAAUCAACUUUUCAGGCAAAUAAGCCCACAAUUACUAUACGUUCUAGCGAAGGGAACUCAGUCCCUAAAACCUUUCCCUGUGAUUGUAAAUUUAUUUCUCUAAUAGAAUCUGAACUUGAGAAAGUAAGGUCCCAACAGAGAGGUUUAUAUAGUGAUGAUUCAUUAAUUAGAAGGAUUUAAUUAGAGGAUUAGAGCCACCUUAAAAAGCCUCGUCCACCUUAACUCUUAGCAAUGCCAAUUCUUCAAGGUUUGAAAAGUCCCCCAGUCAUUCCCAAAUGACUGUUAAGAAUGAAAGGGACUGCUUUUCCAUUAUCAAUACUUUUGGGGAAAAAGGGCAAGAGGAAAGGGAAGUAAAACCAGUAUUUAUUGAGUACCUAUUUGCCAGAUACGGCUAGGUGCUCCCACAUCCCAUCUCUUAAUCCUCACAACAACCCUGUGAGGUAGGUAAUAAUGAUCCCCAUUUUUACAGGUGAGGAAGUAGGCUCAGAGAAAUUAAGCAGCUUUCCCAACUUCACACAGUGAGUAAGUACAUCUAUCUGACCCCAGAGUUACCCUUUUCUAUCAUGCCCCCGUAGGAUAUUGCCUGGGGACACCUGACAACAGAAAGUCUAAGGUUUUCAUCUAGGAUUGGGAGUUACCCCAACACCAGCAGGAUGCAGGAAAAAGUAACUGACCGGAUGGUUGCCUCAAUCUGUUGAUUCUUCAGUGAGUUAGCUCAGAUUUUGUCCAGGAACAGCUUUCAGAGCCAAAGAUUACGUAUUGAACUUUACCAAGGCAUCUGGUGACUAGAAAACUCCUGGAAGGUGGUCAUAGCAGAAAUUGUUGGGAAAGUUCUCAGCAUAAUAAAAGAGAAAUUUUUAUUUCCUUCAUGAUCCACUCCUACAGGGAAAAAUAAAUGGCAAAUGAACCCAUGUAUGUCAAACUCUGUAAUAAACACCAGUGAGAUCACAGUGUCAGGAAAUUUCAGCCUGAAUUAAAGAUACCCUUGCUCUUAAAACUUUCUUCUUUGAUGUAUGUGAAGG